GAUGAACGCUGGCGGCGUGCCUAAUUCAUGCAAGUCGAGCGAAAGGACGAGAAGCUUGCUUCUCUGAUGUUAGCGGCGGGCGGGUGAGUAACACGUGGAUAACCUCCCUAUCAGACUGGGAUCACCUCGGGAAACCGGAGCUAAUACCGGAUAAUAUUUUGAACCGCAUGGUUCAAAAGUGAAAGACGGUCUUGGUGUCACUUAUAGAUGGAUCCGCGCUGCAUUAGCUAGUUGGUAAGGUAACGGCUUACCAAGGCAACGAUGCAUAGCCGACCUGAGAGGGUGAUCGGCGGCACGGGAGCGGGAACGCGGUCCUGGCGCCUGCGGGAGGGAGCAGUAGGGUAUGUGCCGCAGUGGGCGGGAGCCUGGCGGAGCGGCGGCGCGUGUGUGGUGGAGGUGUUGGGUUCGUGAAGCUGUGUUAUUAGGGGUGAACAGAUGUGGAAGGAGCUGUGGAGAGCGUGACGGUACCGGGUCAGAAAGCCCCGGCUAACUACGUG
rnacentral:rRNA from 1 species